GAUGAACGCUGGCGGCGUGCCUAAUACAUGCAAGUCGAGCGAACGGACGAGAAGCUUGCUUCUCUGAUGUUAGCGGCGGACGGGUGAGUAACACGUGGAUAACCUACCUAUAAGACUGGGAUAACUUCGGGAAACCGGAGCUAAUACCGGAUAAUAUUUUGAACCGCAUGGUUCAAAAGUGAAAGACGGUCUUGCUGUCACUUAUAGAUGGAUCCGCGCUGCAUUAGCUAGUUGGUAAGGUAACGGCUUACCAAGGCAACGAUGCAUAGCCGACCUGAGAGGGUGUGCGGCCACACGGAAACUGAAACCCGGCCCAGCCCCCGGGGGGAGGAAGAAGGGGGAAUUUUUCCGAAAGGGGAAAAGCCCGGAGGGCGCACCGCCGGGGGGGGGAAGAAGGUCUUGGUACCGAAAAACUUUUUUAUGGGGAAAAAAAAUAUGUUAAAGUAACUGUCCACUUCUGCGGGUACCCUAAAAAAAAGCCCAGGUAAACUCCGGCC
rnacentral:rRNA from 1 species